rnacentral:tRNA from 1 species
GUUUUAAUAGUUUAAAAAACACCGGUCUUGUAAACCGGAAUUAAAAGUCCCCCCUUUUUUAGAACU